AAUAUCAAAGGUGAGCCAGUACAGGAUGGACCCGCGUCUGAUUAGCUAGUUGGUAAGGUAACGGCUUACCAAGGCGACGAUCAGUAGCCGACCUGAGAGGGGGAUCGGCCACAUUGGAACUGAGACACGGUCCAAACUCCUACGGGAGGCAGCAGUGGGGAAUAUUGCACAAUGGGCGAAAGCCUGAUGCAGCAACGCCGCGUGAGUGAUGAAGGCCUUCGGGUCGUAAAACUCUGUCCUCAAGGAAGAUAAUGAC
rnacentral:rRNA from 1 species